AUUGAACGCUGGCGGCAGGCCUAACACAUGCAAGUCGAACGAGUGGCGGACGGGUGAGUAAUGUCUGGGAAACUGCCUGAUGGAGGGGGAUAACUACUGGAAACGGUAGCUAAUACCGCAUACCAUCAGAUGUGCCCAGAUGGGAUUAGCUUGGUGGUUGGGUAACGGCUCACCAAGGCGACGAUCCCUAGCUGGUCUGAGAGGGUGACCGGCCAAACUGGAACUGAGACACGGUCCAGACUCCUACGGGCGGCAGCAGUGGGGAUGAUUGGACAAGGGGCGAAAGCCUGAUCCAGCCAUGCCGCGUGUGUGAAGAAGGUCUUCGGAUUGUAAAGCACUUUAAGGUUGGAGGCGUUACCAACAGAAUAAGCACCGGCUAACUACGUGCCAGCCGCCGCGGUAAUU
rnacentral:rRNA from 1 species